rnacentral:rRNA from 1 species
UGACCAGUACGGCGAGUGAAGCGGCAAGAGCUCAAAUUUGAAAGCUGGCUCCUUCGGGGUCCGCAUUGUAAUUUGCAGAGGAUGCUUCGGGAGCGGUCCCCAUCUAAGUGCCCUGGAACGGGACGUCAUAGAGGGUGAGAAUCCCGUAUGGGAUGGGGUGUCCGCGCCCGUGUGAAGCUCCUUCGACGAGUCGAGUGUUUGGGAAUUA